AUUGAACGCUGGCGGCGUGCUUAACACAUACAAGUCGAGCGGCAGCGGGCCCGCAAGGGUGCCGGCGAGCGGCGGACGGGUGAGCAAUACAUAGGAAUCUGCCUCAGAGCGGGGGAUAGCCAGGGGAAACCCUGAUUAAUACCGCAUGACGUCGAGAGACCAAAGUGGGGGAUCGUAAGACCUCACACUCUGAGAUGAGCCUAUGUCGGAUUAGCUAGUUGGCGGGGUAACGGCCCACCAAGGCGACGAUCCGUAGCUGGUCUGAGAGGACGAUCAGCCACACCGGAACUGAGACACGGUCCGGACUCCUACGGGAGGCAGCAGUGGGGAAUAUUGGACAAUGGGCGAAAGCCUGAUCCAGCGACGCCGCGUGGGUGAAGAAGGCCUUCGGGUUGUAAAGCCCUUUAAGCCGGGACGAAAAAGCUACACCUAACACGUGUGGCCUUGACGGUACCGGAAGAAUAAGCACCGGCUAACUCUGUGCCAGCCGCCGCGGUAA
rnacentral:rRNA from 1 species